rnacentral:rRNA from 1 species
UACGUAGGGUGCGAGCGUUGUCCGGAAUUAUUGGGCGUAAAGGGCUCGUAGGCGGUUUGUCGCGUCGGGAGUGAAAAUCCAGGGCUUAACUCUGGACUGGCUUCCGAUACGGGCAGACUAGAGGUAUGCAGGGGAGAACGGAAUUCCUGGUGUAGCGGUGAAAUGCGCAGAUAUCUGGAGGAACACCGGUGGCGAAGGCGGCGUUCUGGACCGAUACUGACGCUGAGGUGCGAAAGCGUGGGGGAGCAAACAGGG